ensembl:lncRNA
GUUUUGUAAAAGAGGAAUUCUGAAAAAAGAGUUUUGAAGAUGGUCAAGUUGGCUAAGAUUAAAGUAAAUUUAAUUAAGUAAAUAAGUUUUAAUAGCAAAAUUAAGCUUGUGCAAGAUUAGAAUUUGUUUUUUUCCUCUCAUAAAAGGAUAAUUUUCUUGAACUUUUACUCUGCUCUUGGUACAGAGAUUAUGAAAGGCUUUUUCUUUGAGUAGUCUACCAGAAGGGUAGGUAUUUUGUGUUUUAUCAAAAUAAAUUUCCUAUAUUGUUUUUUAUCAGGUCUUUAGUCACAGGUGCUAAGGUUUUUCUUACAGCUAUGUAAUUCUCUGCAUUCAUCUAAAAUUCUUUAAUUGUCACCAUGAUUAAAUGGACAACUAAGUAUUGUUUCAUAGAGACCUAAGACAUUAUUUGGGUAAAUGUUAUUGAUAAGUUUAAAAAAUUAUAUAACAUUCCUAAAAUUCUGAUCUGCCCUGGUUGUCAGCCAUAAUUCUAGUUUUUCUCUUAAAGUGUUGCAUGUCACAGAAUUUACCAAAUUUCUUUGUCAAUUGCCAUUUUUAGGUCCUUUGUCAUUUACAGACAGUUAUUGUUUUACUCUGAUGUUUUUACAAAUAUGUUUCAUCUUCAGAGGAAUUCAUGGAAAGGACUCUAACACUUACUGUAGAAUACAGGUUUCUGAUAAACUUUCAUAUCAUAAAACUGAACUGGGUAAGAAAUUACAACACUCUAACAGAGGAACUGAUUACUUCAUGAAACUGCCAACAAAAGAGCAAGAUCAAGAGUUGAUUAUAUGGGACUGAAUGAACUGACGAGGAUGAUGUUAAUUUUUAGGACUUUUUGUUUAAAAUAUAGCUGAUUUUUAAAAAUGAGGUUUUUUUUUAGAUUUAAGGAAAUAUUUUUUCUUUCAAACUAUUAUGACUUAUGUCAAUUUGGUGAACUACACCUUUGUAAGCAGCAUGGAAACAUUUGCUUAUUUUUCUCCCUACCUGAUCCUUCCAGGACUUGGAAACCCUUAACGAAAAUACUUCUUAUUAAAGACCUGAUUUCUUGCUUCCACAAUAUAGGCCUGUCUUUGGGAGCCCACCUCCAUCACUGCCUUCUAAAGUGAAUUUAACUGGACUGAUCUAUUAUCAGGACUAAGAAAAUGUGUUCGAUGAGAUGGAACAAUCUACCACUCAGCUUCGGGACUAUGCAAUUUCUUAAAGUUUCAAAGGCAGGACUGUGUGGGAUCAGAAUUGGCCACCCCAAAAUCUGUCUCUUGGCCUUGCCUUGAUUACUUUUAAGAACAAAAGACUCUGAAAGAAACUUUGACCUUCCCCCUAACUGGGUAAAAGAAAUUUAAGAUAAAAGACCUGUCCCCAGGACAGGGUAUCACCAUAGAUAACUCUGGGCAUCAGUAGUCUGGGAGGGUCCUUGCUAAGCCCACUCUUAUCAAAUUUCUGUUUACCAAACAUUUGCUUUUCCAUUUUCAUGUGAAUUGCUUUCCUUCCCUUUGAAGUCCCAAACCACCACCCCCAACACCCUGUUUUGUCUUUAGCUAAAGAUGAUAUUUAAGCUGGAAGCUUGGCUAUUUCAUCGAGUUGCUCAGUUUUCCUGAGUCUCUCCCACGUGUACAUGUUAUAAAGCUUUGUUUGAUUUUCCCCUGUUAUUCUGUCUCAUGUGAAUGUAAUUCACAGACGAGCCAGAAGGACCUAGCGGGUAGAGGAUUUGUGUUCCUUCAUGACACUAGCAACGUGGGAGGAGACAUCGACACUGCUUAUUCCCAUUUGGGGCACCACACAGAGAGCCAGUAAAUGGCACAAACACACCCAAAGAUUCUCACAAUCAGAACGUGAAGACAUUUCAUAGAAUGGAGGCAGGACCAGGUGAGGGAGGUACACGGAGCCAUCACCUGCGGAACUUGAGUGCCCUCAACCCUGAAUUGUGACUGGAACCCCUAUGUCCAGCCCCAACACAUGGGCGAGACCUAAACAAGAGGGCAUUUGGCCUGGGACAGGGGUGACACAUCCUAAAACUGAUCUGCAAUCUGUGGA